AUACUUACAUGGCAGGGGAGGUGCUAUGAUAAAGAAGGUGGUUCACCCAGGGUGAGGCUCAACCAUUGCGCUCCGGUUGUGCUGACCCCUGCGAAUUCCAAAAACGUGGGAAUUUCGACUGCAUCAUUUCUGAUAGUGGGGGACUGUGUUCAUGCUCUACCCUG